rnacentral:lncRNA from 1 species
GAGAAAUUUAUGUAAGAAUAAUGUGUAUACAUACAGUUCUGGAUUCAGUAGAAAUAUUAAUAUAUGUAUACAAAUAAUGUUAAAAUUAUACACCAAACAAUGUUUAUCUAAUUUAUUCAAAGCACUUUUGGCUUAGUCCUUUGCUGUGGACUUCAGAAAGAACACAUACAGACCAUUCUUUAUUAAGUCCACAGUAAAAGAACUGUAGCAUUGCAAAAUGGUAGUGUUUAGGACCUUAUUACAGAGAAUAAUGAUGCACUGUAGCAAUCAAGAUACGCCAAUGAAGAAUUUGGAUGUGCAUUUCCACCAAAGGGAAUUACAUGAUUAUAAUCAGAACAUCCUUAAACUAUGGGAAAAAAUCACAUGUAAAAAUACUAGACAGGACAUUAAAAUAACAACCAUACACACAAUACAAAAAUAAAAUUAUACUCUGUAGAAAAUAAUCAAAUUUUCAGAAAGUUUAAAAGAACAAAGAAUAAAAUUGUGUAUAAUAGGAGGAAUAUACUGUUUAACCUACUGAGGAAUGACAAAGUCCCUAGGAAGUGCAAUGAAUCCCCUGGAGUAUAUGAAAUUCCUUUUAAGAAUUUAGACACAUGAAGAGAUGAGAUGUACAGUCUGUUUAAUAAAGGUGUAGUCAUCAUCUAUAGGAGCAGCAGUGACAGGAAGUAGAUCACUUCCAAUGUCUGGAAAUUCACAGCAUGGCUGCCUGUAAUGAAAUUGACUGUUCUUGGUGUCUUAUAAACGGGUGUGGUAGAGUGAGUUGAGGGCGACAAGUUUGAUGACAUAGGUGACAUGAUGAAUUCCUGAUGCAUUUCUUGCUGCAUUUUUUGAUUGCUUUAAUUUUUAUAAAACCUCCUUACAAUUUAGAAAAUCGUAUUAUUUUAAUUAAGGUUAACUUUUAUUAAUAAUUUCUAAUUAAGCAAAAUGCUUAU